AUUGAACGCUGGCGGCAGGCCUAACACAUGCAAGUCGAGCGGAUGAGGGAAGCUUGCUUCCUGAUUUAGCGGCGGACGGGUGAGUAAUGCCUAGGAAUCUGCCUAUUAGUGGGGGAUAACGUUCCGAAAGGAACGCUAAUACCGCAUACGUCCUACGGGAGAAAGUGGGGGAUCUUCGGACCUCACGCUAAUAGAUGAGCCUAGGUCGGAUUAGCUAGUUGGUGAGGUAACGGCUCACCAAGGCGACGAUCCGUAGCUGGUCUGAGAGGAUGAUCAGCCACACUGGAACUGAGACACGGUCCAGACUCCUACGGGAGGCAGCAGUGGGGAAUAUUGGACAAUGGGCGAAAGCCUGAUCCAGCCAUGCCGCGUGUGUGAAGAAGGUCUUCGGAUUGUAAAGCACUUUAAGUUGGGAGGAAGGGCUGUAAGCUAAUAUCUUGCAGCUUUGACGUUACCAACAGAAUAAGCACCGGCUAACUCUGUGCCAGCAGCCGCGGUAAUAC
rnacentral:rRNA from 1 species